AGUGUAAAGGAGACUCAGUGACGCAGACAGAAGGACAUGUUGCUGCUGCUAGAGGAGAAUGUGUGACUCUGGGAUGUAUUUUUACAACAAGCUAUACAGGUUAUACCUUGUUCUGGUAUAAAUUAGAAGAAAACAGCUUUCCGAAGUACAUGCUAAAGCAACUUUCUUCAACCAAGGAAAAAGCUCCAGAUUUUAACCACAUCAGAUUCAAUGCUGACCUUGACAGUGACAAGAAAUCCUUCAAUCUGACGAUCCAGGAUCUCCGUCUGUCAGACUCUGCUGUGUACUACUGUGCUCUGCAGCCCACAGUGACAGGAAACACCAGAACUCUGUACAAGAACCUGCAGAGCAAAGACAACACGGCACCCAACAAUAUCCACCAGAGAGCCUUACAGUCUAUGAGAUUUAGUCAGGUUAUUAUACUGAAACCAAACAUCAUUUCUAAUUUGUGA